GGGUUGUGAGGUUAAGCGACUAAGCGUACACGGUGGAUGCCCUGGCAGUCAGAGGCGAUGAAGGACGUGCUAAUCUGCGAUAAGCGUCGGUAAGGUGAUAUGAACCGUUAUAACCGGCGAUUUCCGAAUGGGGAAACCCAGUGCAAUUCGUUGCACUAUCGUUAAGUGAAUACAUAGCUUAACGAAGCGAACCGGGGGAACUGAAACAUCUAAGUACCCCGAGGAAAAGAAAUCAACCGAGAUUCCCCCAGUAGCGGCGAGCGAACGGGGAGGAGCCCAGAGUCUGAAUCAGCGCGUGUGUUAGUGGAACGGUCUGGAAAGUCCGGCGGUACAGGGUGAUAGCCCCGUACACUAAAAUGCACACGUUGUGAACUCGAAGAGUAGGGCGGGACACGUGGUAUCCUGUCUGAAUAUGGGGGGACCAUCCUCCAAGGCUAAAUACUCCUGACUGACCGAUAGUGAACCAGUACCGUGAGGGAAAGGCGAAAAGAACCCCGGCGAGGGGAGUGAAAAAGAACCUGAAACCGUGUACGUACAAGCAGUGGGAGCCUACUUGUUAGGUGACUGCGUACCUUUUGUAUAAUGGGUCAGCGACUUAUAUUCUGUAGCAAGGUUAACCGUAUAGGGGAGCCGCAGGGAAACCGAGUCUUAACUGGGCGUUAAGUUGCAGGGUAUAGACCCGAAACCCGGUGAUCUAGCCAUGGGCAGGUUGAAGGUUGGGUAACACUAACUGGAGGACCGAACCGACUAAUGUUGAAAAAUUAGCGGAUGACUUGUGGCUGGGGGUGAAAGGCCAAUCAAACCGGGAGAUAGCUGGUUCUCCCCGAAAGCUAUUUAGGUAGCGCCUCGUGAACUCAUCUUCGGGGGUAGAGCACUGUUUCGGCUAGGGGGUCAUCCCGACUUACCAACCCGAUGCAAACUACGAAUACCGAAGAAUGUUAUCACGGGAGACACACGGCGGGUGCUAACGUCCGUCGUGAAGAGGGAAACAACCCAGACCGCCAGCUAAGGUCCCAAAGUCAUGGUUAAGUGGGAAACGAUGUGGGAAGGCACAGACAGCCAGGAUGUUGGCUUAGAAGCAGCCAUCAUUUAAAGAAAGCGUAAUAGCUCACUGGUCGAGUCGGCCUGCGCGGAAGAUGUAACGGGGCUAAACCAUGCACCGAAGCUGCGGCAGCGACACUAUGUGUUGUUGGGUAGGGGAGCGUUCUGUAAGCCGUUGAAGGUGGCCUGUGAGGGUUGCUGGAGGUAUCAGAAGUGCGAAUGCUGACAUAAGUAACGAUAAAGCGGGUGAAAAGCCCGCUCGCCGGAAGACCAAGGGUUCCUGUCCAACGUUAAUCGGGGCAGGGUGAGUCGACCCCUAAGGCGAGGCCGAAAGGCGUAGUCGAUGGGAAACAGGUUAAUAUUCCUGUACUCGGUGUUACUGCGAAGGGGGGACGGAGAAGGCUAUGUUAGCCGGGCGACGGUUGUCCCGGUUUAAGCAUGUAGGCGGAACGAUUAGGUAAAUCCGGACUUCGUUUUAACGCUGAGGUGUGAUGACGAGGCACUACGGUGCUGAAGUAACAAAUGCCCUGCUUCCAGGAAAAGCCUCUAAGCAUCAGGUAACAACGAAUCGUACCCCAAACCGACACAGGUGGUCAGGUAGAGAAUACCAAGGCGCUUGAGAGAACUCGGGUGAAGGAACUAGGCAAAAUGGUGCCGUAACUUCGGGAGAAGGCACGCUGAUGGUAGGUGAAGUGACUUGCUCAUGGAGCUGAAAUCAGUCGAAGAUACCAGCUGGCUGCAACUGUUUAUUAAAAACACAGCACUGUGCAAACACGAAAGUGGACGUAUACGGUGUGACGCCUGCCCGGUGCCGGAAGGUUAAUUGAUGGGGUUAUCCGUAAGGAGAAGCUCUUGAUCGAAGCCCCGGUAAACGGCGGCCGUAACUAUAACGGUCCUAAGGUAGCGAAAUUCCUUGUCGGGUAAGUUCCGACCUGCACGAAUGGCGUAAUGAUGGCCAGGCUGUCUCCACCCGAGACUCAGUGAAAUUGAACUCGCUGUGAAGAUGCAGUGUACCCGCGGCAAGACGGAAAGACCCCGUGAACCUUUACUAUAGCUUGACACUGAACAUUGAGCCUUGAUGUGUAGGAUAGGUGGGAGGCUUUGAAGUGUGGACGCCAGUCUGCAUGGAGCCAACCUUGAAAUACCACCCUUUAAUGUUUGAUGUUCUAACGUAGACCCGUGAUCCGGGUUGCGGACAGUGUCUGGUGGGUAGUUUGACUGGGGCGGUCUCCUCCCAAAGAGUAACGGAGGAGCACGAAGGUUAGCUAAUCCUGGUCGGACAUCAGGAGGUUAGUGCAAUGGCAUAAGCUAGCUUGACUGCGAGCGUGACGGCGCGAGCAGGUGCGAAAGCAGGUCAUAGUGAUCCGGUGGUUCUGAAUGGAAGGGCCAUCGCUCAACGGAUAAAAGGUACUCCGGGGAUAACAGGCUGAUACCGCCCAAGAGUUCAUAUCGACGGCGGUGUUUGGCACCUCGAUGUCGGCUCAUCACAUCCUGGGGCUGAAGUAGGUCCCAAGGGUAUGGCUGUUCGCCAUUUAAAGUGGUACGCGAGCUGGGUUUAGAACGUCGUGAGACAGUUCGGUCCCUAUCUGCCGUGGGCGCUGGAGAAUUGAGGGGGGCUGCUCCUAGUACGAGAGGACCGGAGUGGACGCAUCACUGGUGUUCGGGUUGUCAUGCCAAUGGCAUUGCCCGGUAGCUAAAUGCGGAAAAGAUAAGUGCUGAAAGCAUCUAAGCACGAAACUUGCCCCGAGAUGAGUUCUCCCUGACCCUUUAAGGGUCCUGAAGGAACGUUGAAGACGACGACGUUGAUAGGUCGGGUGUGUAAGCGUAGCGAUACGUUGAGCUAACCGAUACUAAUGAACCGUGAGGCUUAACCUUACAACGCCGAAGCUGUU
rnacentral:rRNA from 1 species